UUAAGCAUAUCAAUAAGCGGAGGAAAAGAAACCAACAGGGAUUGCCCCAGUAACGGCGAGUGAAGCGGCAACAGCUCAAAUUUGAAAUCUGGCUUCGGCCCGAGUUGUAAUUUGUAGAGGAUGCUUUAGGCGCGGCUCCUUCUGAGUGCCCUGGAACGGGACGCCACAGAGGGUGAGAGCCCCGUAUAGUUGGAUGCCUAGCCUGUGUAAAGCUCCUUCGACGAGUCGAGUAGUUUGGGAAUGCUGCUCAAAAUGGGAGGUAAAUUUCUUCUAAAGCUAAAUACCGGCCAGAGACCGAUAGCGCACAAGUAGAGUGAUCGAAAGAUGAAAAGCACUUUGAAAAGAGGGUUAAAUAGCACGUGAAAUUGUUGAAAGGGAAGCGCUUGUGACCAGACUUGCGCCGGGCUGAUCAUCCGGAGUUCUCUCCGGUGCACUCUGCCCGGCUCAGGCCAGCAUCGGUUCUCGCGGGGGGAUAAAGGCCUCGGGAACGUAGCUCCUCCGGGAGUGUUAUAGCCCGGGGCGUAAUGCCCUCGCGGGGACCGAGGUUCGCGCAUCUGCAAGGAUGCUGGCGUAAUGGUCACCAGCGACCCGUCUUGAAACACGGACCAAGGAGUCAAGGUUUUGCGCGAGUGUUUGGGUGUAAAACCCGCACGCGUAAUGAAAGUGAACGUAGGUGAGAGCUUCGGCGCAUCAUCGACCGAUCCUGAUGUAUUCGGAUGGAUUUGAGUAGGAGCGUUAAGCCUUGGACCCGAAAGAUGGUGAACUAUGCUUGGAUAGGGUGAAGCCAGAGGAAACUCUGGUGGAGGCUCGCAGCGGUUCUGACGUGCAAAUCGAUCGUCAAAUCUGAGCAUGGGGGCGAAAGACUAAUCGAACCAUCUAGUAGCUGGUUACCGCCGAA
rnacentral:rRNA from 1 species